AUUUAUAUACGUAUGUAUAGUGGCGGAUAUUGAGGUGUUGACAAGACACCUGUAUUUUCGUGGGAGGUGGAGAAAUAGUUGGCUUUAGGGACAACUUGACAGCAAAUUUGGCGCUCCAUUGGCGUGCGCAUGUCGCCAAGAAAAAAAAAAAAAAAACACGGCCAAGUGCGUUGUGCUCCGACAGAGGGCGCUGCAAGGUGGCAAACGGACAAUUGAAAAGUUAAUUGAACGGCACUUAAAACGCAAUUAAUUACCAAAUCGCUGACACGCUGAGUAGGCCUACAAGGAAGCGCUGAACUUGACAACGAAAAUGGAGAGCGGAAAGCCAAAAAACGAAACUGAAACUGAAACCGAAACCGAAACUCAAUCGGAUAGCAGUAUCGAAACCGUGGACAAAAAGACAAAUUACCCGAAACCAGUUUUGGCCCAAGACAAUUGUCAAAUUGUCAACCAAGAUGCCGAGACACUUUUGUACUUGUUACCGGUUUGCUCUUCGG
ensembl:ncRNA lncRNA:CR44875 long non-coding RNA:CR44875